ACCUGCUGGGUACUGAUUUCAUUUCUUCCAAAUUUUAAAUAGGAAAUCUUGUCAUUCAUUGCAAUUGUAAUGCUUCGACUGAUUGGUGUAAGAAAAAUCCUCAUCUUGUU